CCUACGGGGGGCAGCAGUGGGGGAUAUUGCACAAUGGGGGGAACCCUGAUGCAGCGACGCCGCGUGGGUGAAGAAGCGCCUCGGCGCGUAAAGCUCUGUCAGCAGGGAAGAAAAUGACGGUACCUGAAGAAGAAGCCCCGGCUAACUACGUGCCAGCAGCCGCGGUAUUACGUAGGGGGCAAGCGUUAACCGGAUUUACUGGGUGUAAAGGGGGCGCAGACGGCGAUGCAAGCCAGGGGUGAAAGCCCGGGGCACAACCCCGGGACUGCUCUUGGAACGGCGUGGCUGGAGUGCAGGAGGGGCAGGCGGAAUUGCUGGGGUAGCGGUGAAAGGCGUAGAAAUCAGGAGGAACACCGGUGGCGAAGGCGGCCUGCGGGACUGCAACUGACGUUGAGGCCCGAAAGCGUGGGGAGCAAACAGGAUUAGAUACCCUAGUAGUC
rnacentral:rRNA from 1 species